UCCCCUUUAGCUCAGAGGUAGAGCGCUUGGCUGUUAACCAAGAUGUCACUGGUUCGAAUCCAGUAGGGGGAGCCA
rnacentral:tRNA from 1 species